rnacentral:ncRNA from 2 species
GGAAGCCGGUGAGAACCCGGCGCUGUCUCUCAGCAACCGUGAUAUCUUCGAAAGGACUGUUGAGCGCUCAAACGGGCUAAGCUCAUAUCCACUCGGGACUGAAAAACCCGGGGAAGGAGUCCCGGUAGGUUAAAAGGAUUAAGCCGGUAGAC